CUUCCUUUCAUCAUCAUGUUCAACCCAUUAUGCAAGUACCUUGAAGCUCACUGAUCCUGGUUAACCUCUAAAGCAACCAAUCUUCAGAUACAAAGAUGCUACACGAAACCGGUGCAACCUUAACAAUAAAAUCUCGUAUUCAAACAUCAAUUCAUCUUUCAUUGAAUAAUUUGCUUUAAACGAGGUCAACUUGGUCACCUUGGUCAGAUGUAAUUUGCAUUUAAAAGCCUGUGUAAUAAACCAUUUUUGAAUACAUUGUA